AGAGGGAGCCAUGUGGCCAGAAGAGAGGCCACAUUUGUCUCGAUGACAAUCCAAGGACAAAAGCUCAGUCUGGAGCAUUCCAGGAGGGGCCUGCCCUCCUCCCGUGGCCUCAGGCCGGGCCCUGUUUGGAGGGAGGAGGAGGCUGGGUGCAGGGUGUGAGCAGCCAGGCACUGGGCAUCCCGGACCCAACCCACGUCAACAGCUGCCACCCCCACCCGGCCUCCCCGCUCUGAGGAGUCUGGGUUUAAUUUUCUGGUCAGUGCCAAAAGCAGGAGGAAGAGGACGAGGAGGAGGAGAAGAAAGGAGCGAGCUGAAGCCCUAAUGCGGCCGGCUGGGAUCUGUCACUCAGCGCACGGCCUGCUGACGACUCAGGGCAGCCCCAGCUGUAAGCAGCCCAUGAUUUAUGGACACCGAGUGAACUCCUGCGGCAGAAACCAGCCUUGAGAUCAGAGCAGCAAUAGGGCCCUUUUUUUGGCAGGAGACAGGGCCUGCAUUUUUCUCAUUCAUGCCAAACUGCUUUGCACGGCAAUUAGCUCUGUCCUCAUUUAGUCUCCAGUCCCAAAGGGUAAUGAAAGUCAUAGAUCAUCUUCAAGACUGCUAAUUAUUGAGCUCGCUUACAGGUUCCCGCCAGACUCCUUAUAACACCCUCCACCCCAGGAUGCCCAGGAAGUGAUCCUCCCCCCUCCGCCACUCACCAUCUCUGGACAUGUGUGUGGAGGCUGCAGGGAGUUUUCCGUGACUUUUUGGAAAGUCAAGGAAUGUCUGUCUCCAAAAGCCAAGGAAGGAAGGCAGGAAAGGAGGGAAGGAGGGAGUAAGUAAGUAAGUUUGGUUCAAGAAUAAAAAGAGGAAUAUUAACUGUUUGCAUCUGGAGAAGGUAAAGAAACUCUAAGGUAGGGACUUCCGUCCCCUUAUUGUGGAUGAAGAGAGGUCCAGGGCAAUUCCGGCCUUGCUCAAGUUCCCAUGGUGGGAUUAGAACCCUGGCUUCUCACUGCCCUGGCCGGGCCCAGAGCUCUUUCCAUGAGCCCUUGCUUGCCUGCUGGCCUGGCUGGGAUAAUGGGGGGUGGGGGAGGCAUGGGGAAAUGCCUCCCCAUCACAAAGUGGGAGUAGAGGCUCAGCCCAGGAAAGUGUGGCCAAAACUCAGUUCUCCUGGGAGCCCCAAGGGAUCCAGAAAGUGACUAAGAGGUCACCAGCGGCUCCUCUGGGAACUGGGCUAAAGUCCCUCCAGUAGGCUUUAUCUGGGCAGAUUCCAUUUCCUGUUGGAGGAAAAGGAAGAGAUCUUUGUGUUUCUCUGCUGUUUUCCCCUUUCAGGCAGAUCAGAAACCAGAUGGAGUCAGAUAAACCCAGUUGAGAAGAAAGAGUACCUGGCUGGCUGGGAAGAGAAGGGUCCCUUUCCCAAGUCACGCAGGAAGACACCCAGAGAGACCCUUCCCCUGCAGAAGAGGGAGAAGGGGUUCAAAUGGGUCUCUCCUUAGACUUGUAAUAAUAGUAUUUCCAAAUGAGGUUGUCCCUACAGUGACUGUGUUAUUAUUUUGCAUCUGGUUGAGAGCGACAGAUUGUUAACCGUGAACUUAAGGACUUGACACUCCUUCACAGUUUCAGCAAGCACCGCGGACCCAGCUGAACUGGCAGAGCACUUCAAAGGCCUGCGGGUCAUUCAUCAUCCCCAUGACGCUCCGGCAAAUGCUCAGCUUCAGCUCCGCGCCAGGGAUUUGUUAUGACUUGCGAGCCGGCUGACAGACAGGACGGUGGCGGCCGCGGGAGGGGGACGCGCGGGAGGGAGGCUCGCAGCCCUUUUGUCACUCCGGGGGAGAGGCAGCGCCCAGCGCCCGGAGUCGGGGCGGGGUGGCAGGUGGGGGGCCGGGGGGGGGGGCAGAAGGUGCAGCCUGGUCGGGAGUCACCCGCGGGGGCGGACCAGGGGUGCACGGGAGGGCUGGGGUCCCAGGACCCCCCCACCCCCCCGCCCCAGGCUGUCCCCGCAGGCCCAGCGAGCGCCCUCGCCCCUCCCGUCCCACUCUCCUCCUCUCGGCGGGCGGCUGCGUCUCCGAAAGUUGUGCUGAAAACCCAGAGGCCGUGACAUGAUUAAUCGUUUUCUUCUGAUCUAAUUUUGGAACAUGAAAAACAGCACAUUUGUCUUGAAGAAAAAUGAUGUGCCGAACUGCGCAGAUGGAAAUUUCGAGCAAUGAGAAAGAUUAAAGUGAAACCCCACUCCUUAGACCUAAUCAUGAGUUGUAGAUUAUUCUGUCGGCCCAGCCAGAUGGUAGCUCUGAUUCCACAGCCCCUUCUUAUAUUAAUGAAUACUAGACUGUUAUAUUUGACUUAGGUAAGUGAAAUGUCUAUCAGAGCUAAUGGACUGCCAGCCAGCAUAACACAUGUUGUACCGCUAAGGGUCCUUGCUGCAUUUUUCAUGUUUUAUACUAAUGUAGAACAUUUUGUUUCCUACUGUUUUUCAUCAUUGUCACUGUUUGCUAAAUAUUUUCACAUGGAAGGGGGGGAGGGAGACAAAGUCAUGAGGAAAAAGAACCCCCCCUCCAAACUUGUGUCCAAAGCUAAUUUCCUCCCGUUGGGCUUGGCUAUAACUCUACGAGUAAAACAGUCACCCCAAGCUAUGCGUACAGGAACUCAAUAGUAACGUGAUUAAGUUCCUAGUCAACAAGACUACACUGGACUGUAUGUUAACAAACCUAAUUAUAGCCCCGUGGUGAUAAAUUGGGCCAGGGCCCUUGCCACACAUCUCUGAGGUCAUGUCUAGAAGAGCAGCUUGACCCUCUUAUCCCAGGGGAGAGAACUGUCCUGGAGAGGAGUCCCAAGCUCGACUUUCAUGAGGGGCUCUCUUGACUCAGGGGGUCCUUUGCCUGGGGAGGGUGGGCGCAAGGUCCGAGACGUGGUGGUGGAGCUGAAGGUCAGAGGUAUGAGCCACCAGGCUCUCCUGGAGGAGGCUGAAAGGGGGCGGCUUCAAGCUGUGGGCACCAACAGUGUUGUGAGCGCUGCCAGGAUGCCUGAGAGGGGAGCGUGCUGUUCCCAGUUCACUGGUUCCGUGGAGACCUUGGGACCUGGUGGCUCACCUUCUCUGGGCCCCAUGAUGGCAGUCCCUUCUUCCAGCACCUCCUCUGUGCACUGGGGAGGCCCCGAAGAGCUUGCUGUUCAAGAGGAAAUCCUGAGUACUUAUUUGUGAAAACCCCAAGGCCGGCUGGGACUAGUGUCCUGGAGAAAAUGAGUCCUGGAGAUGGAAUCUGAAAGCUGUUUGGGCAGAUAAGACGCAAGCGGUUGAGAGAUAUCUUCAAAGGGGAGUGCCUAUUUUUUUUUUUUUUUUGAGAUUUUUGUUUAUUUAUUUGACAGAGAAAGAGAGCUCAAGUAGGCAGAGAGGCAGGCAGAGGGAGAGGGAAAAGCAGAUUCCCCGUUGAGGAAGGAGCAGGAUGCAGGACUCCAUCCCAGGACCCUGGGACCCUGACCUGAGCCGAAGGCAGACGCUUAACCCACUGAGCCACCCAGGUGCCCCCAAAGGGUAGUGUCUUGAGAAAAAAAUGAAAAGAAAUACACAGAGAGGGGAGACCUAUACAAGACAAGACAUGAGAGAGAGAAAGAGAGAGAGAGAUGGAGAGGGAGGGAGGAAGGGAGAGAGAGAGAGAGAAGUAAGAGAAGAAUGCAGAGAAAGAGAGAGACAUUGAGGCAAGGAGGUGUAUAUACCAACAGAGCAGAUAGCCAAUGAAUUCAAACUAUUCUUGCUCCAGUCAAAAUGAGCUCCCUACAAAGCGAAUUUCAUCCCUGCUUAAAAUUCUUUCUUGGUGGUGAUUCUUGCAGGAGUCAGUUCAGAUGUCUUGGCUGUGAAGAGAUGACCCUUUUCCAUCGACUCCCAGCAUACUUCUACAGCCUCAUCUCUCACCUCUCCUUCACUAUGAACCCUGCACUUCUGCCACAGGAGACUUCUCGGGGCUCUGAAGAAUGCUAGGCUCUUUCACAACAACGUAUUUGUGUCUGUGUUUGUCUGUCUCACUCCCUUCCAUUCUUUAUCUGGCAAACUCCUAUUCAUCCUUCAAGACACAAAGCCAAUGUGUCCUCCUCUGCCCCUUUCCUCACAUUCCUCUGGGCAUUAUUUAAUACUCUGGGCUUCCAUCACAUUUUGUUCAUAUCCCUGUGGAUAUAUGGGCUGGGUUGCAUUGAAAAAUGCAUGUUUUUGUAAACACACUUCUACAUUUCCUUUCCUUUCCAACUAUUUGUGCGUUCAUCCGUUUGUUCAUGCAUCCGAGUAGUGCGUCUUGAGAACCUACUGUAUUGCCAGGUGUUGUUUCAGGCCCUAGGGAUUCAGCUCGGUACAAAAUUCUCAGCCCUCUCAGAGGUACCAUUUUGGUAUUAUCUGUGUGGGUCUGUUAGUGAGGCUUCUUUGCAGGAAGAAAUAGAAAUUAAUUUAGGCCAGCUCUCAUAGUGGGGGUUACUGUAAAAUAGUGGCAAUAAAGGAGCGAAAAUCUCAUGGAGACCCAAGAACAACUGAAUGGCUUCUGAACAACCUCUCAGCUUCUAUAACUCAUUAUUGGGUCACUCAUGGCCCCUCCCAGGCCUUACUGCCAUUUAAAAAACUUUGUAUUGUGGUAUACACGCAGAAAACUGCACAUAAGGGGCACCUGGGUGGCUCAGUCGCUAAGUGUCUGAACUUCUGCUUAGGUCCUGAUCCCAGGGUCCUGGGAUGGAGCCCUGCAUCAGGCUCUCUGCUCAGCAGGGACCCUGCUCCUCCUUCUCCCACUCCCCCUGUUUGUGUUCCCUCUCUUGCUGUGUCUUUCUGUCAAAUAAAUAAAUAAAAUCUGAAAAAAAAAUACUGCACGAGAACACAGCUCAAUGAUUUUCACAAACUAUAAUUCACAAUAAGAUUAAGCGACAGAAUAUUUAGCACUCCAGUGCCCCCUCUUGUCGUCCUUUUCCGUUUCAUUUUUAAGUUAAAUUCCCACCCAACUUCCCUCCAUUAUUUACUAUGACAUUUUGAUUUCUUUUUCAGUGGGUUUGUUUUUCUGAACAGCUUUAUUGAAGUAAAAUUUACAUUCCACAAAAUCAUCUAUUGUAUAGAAUAUUACUCAGCCAUAAAAAAGAAUGAAAUCUUUCCAUUUACUACAACAUGGAUGGACCUACAAGGUAUUAUGCUAAGUGAAAUGAAUAAGGCAGACUUGAGAAAGAGAAAUACCAUACGAUUUCACUUAUAUGUGGACUCAAAAAGACAAAACAAACGAGCAAACAAACUCAUAAAUACAGAGGACAAACUGACUGGUGGUUGCCAAAGGGGAGGGGUUGGGGGAGGGGUAAAAUGGGUGAAAGGGAUUAAGAGGUACAAGCCUCAAGU